GAUGAACGCUGGCGGCGUGCCUAAUACAUGCAAGUCGAGCGAACAGACGAGGAGCUUGCUCCUCUGACGUUAGCGGCGGACGGGUGAGUAACACGUGGAUAACCUACCUAUAAGACUGGGAUAACUUCGGGAAACCGGAGCUAAUACCGGAUAAUAUAUUGAACCGCAUGGUUCAAUAGUGAAAGACGGUUUUGCUGUCACUUAUAGAUGGAUCCGCGCCGCAUUAGCUAGUUGGUAAGGUAACGGCUUACCAAGGCAACGAUGCGUAGCCGACCUGAGAGGGUGAUCGGCCACACUGGAACUGAGACACGGUCCAGACUCCUACGGGAGGCAGCAGUAGGGAAUCUUCCGCAAUGGGCGAAAGCCUGACGGAGCAACGCCGCGUGAGUGAUGAAGGUCUUCGGAUCGGAAAACUCUGUUAUUAGGGAAGAACAAAUGUGUAAGUAACUAUGCACGUCUUGACGGUACCUAAUCAGAAAGCAACGGCUAACUACGUG
rnacentral:rRNA from 1 species